rnacentral:tRNA from 1 species
GGACGGUUAGCUCAGCGGUAGAGCAUCGCCUUCACACGGCGGGGGUCGGGGGUUCGAAACCCUCACCGUCCACCA